CCUUUUGGAAAUCUGUACCCAAGCCCACUGAAAAAAGACCUGCACUCACAGCUUCCUCAGCCUGUUUCUUGUAUGCUUUCACUUUUAACUGCAGCUUGUCCACCAGGUCCUGGAGCCGGAGAAUAUUUUUCUUAUCCUCUUCAGACUGUAGGAAGUGAAAAUCAUGUCAGCUUUGGAACACGGACCGAGGUCAUCCACAUAAGAGGGCAGAGGAUUUGCAAUACCUGGUCUUUGGUUCUACUGCACAUUGAACAGUUUCUGAGACCUGUCUUGGAUGAGACUGCGAUCUCCUUCCUGUCUGGGCUGUAUUUUUCAGUUCCAAGUUCAUCCCCAAUUGCCUCUUCAGCUCUUCAAUCUGCUGAGUGAAAGCAUGUUUGCCUCGAGUCAACUGAGAAAUCAAGGACUCCUUCUCCUCCAGUUGCCGAGAAACAGGAGGGUGAUGAAUGACAGACAAAUUAUUUGGAAUGAUGGUCAGUUCUGAGACCUGCAAUACUCUUUAGUCCAUCAUGGGUCAUCUACCGCCACCACCUGCGACUCCUAGAAUGCUUCCAUCAACGCUGCCUCCGAACAAUCCUAA